GGGUGCUCGAGGCUUGAAGAUGAUACUGACCCACAAGCCUCAUAGAACCAAUCAGCUAACAAUUCAAGAGCAGAAUCAAUCUGGUCCUUGCUUAAUGAAGGACCAGGAGAAGCUUUUGGGCUCUUAAGCUUCUUAAUACUGUCUUCCAACAUUGCCAAUGCCCCCAAAUCCUCUUUACCACCAGAUAACACCAGAUGCUGCUGCU
rnacentral:misc_RNA from 1 species